GGGGCUCUGCAUUUAAUAAUCUCACCAGCUCAACUGUUUUUAUCUGAAUCUCCCUCCUGAACUGAUAAAUCUAAAUUGCACAUUUUCUAACCCUCUUUAGCUGAGGGGGAAAUCUCGCAGGUAUCCUCAGGUGACUCUCGGGCUCUGCCGCGCCGCUCCGGCUCCAUCUACUGCGCUUUUUUGGGACUGCCGCCCCUUGCCGCCCGCUCCCGCCGGAGCUGCCCCUUCAUCCCGCCGAGCUGCCGGGAAAACGGGAGCUCUGGUUUUGUUUGGAAGGCCCAGAGCUGUCCAGGCUGUGAAACAAAUACAACACGCGUUCAUACAGUCCUAUAAACUGUAAUUCCUCGUUGUAAACCAGUCACUGAUUUUCAGCGCCUGGCUUGCCGGGUGAAUUCCUCACCUCGGAAGGAGAAGGAGCAGAACAAAGGUGGCCACCGUCACUGAAGCUUUCCGUGCUGGGCGGUGGAGCGAGAGCUGCGGACAUGGCAGGACAGGGGCUGGAGGAGAGCUCUGUGUGGGGACGAUUGUUCCUGCCUACCAACAAAUCUGCUUGCUGCCAGAAGAUGCCGAGGGGAAGAUACCAGCUUGGAUUUCAGCCGUCCGAUGGGGUGGGAAUAGAAGCAGCAGAACUUCCCUGUGAAAGUCAAAUAUCUUCAUUUACAUUAUAAGAGAAGUUGCUCUGAAGGAAUACCCUACUUUUCCUGGCUCUGUAGUUCAGAGCUGACAUGGAGGCACUAUGUGUCCUUAUUAUAAGCACUCCUAUUACAGUGUGGUUUUGGCUGGAGGAUGCUGUGUGGUUAAAGACGACUAUUACAACCAAAAAUAGUACCAGAGCUUCCCGAAUGCUAUGACUAUUAUGAAUUUGUAGGACUAAUAUUUAGUGGCUCUAAAAAAAGCACCAAAAGUUGGAAGUCAAAAUGAGAACAAAGUUGUGCUAAGGACUGCAUACAACUUUUUUUAAAAAAAAAUGUAUCUAUUCAUAGUACUUAUUUCUGUAGGUGAUAGAUUAACAUAAAAAUACUGCAAAUUUUUCAGAGUUGUAAAACACGAGGUACAUCAUAGAUUAUUUUUUAAUUGUAACUCAGAUUAUGUGUUUGAAAUGAAUUUGUUUCAAUGAAAAGUAACAUAUUUCUCUACAGUCCUUGUGAAAACUGGAAAUAAGGUAGAUUUGGCAGCUUAGCCUAUGAAGUUCUGGGGCAAAUCUCUAAACCAAAAGACCACAGGGUUUUGUCCUGGCUCAGAUGAAGUUCUGAAAAGAGCUAAAUUAAAUCCAUGCUGCAGCCAUAUGUGUAAUUUUGUUCUACUGGAAUAGCUUAUAGCUGUCAGUGAAUUUCUCCAUACUCCCAGCAUUGUGUAAGGGAUGACACAAGAGCCUGAAGAUUACUCUCUCCAGUAGUAACAUGCAUUUGCAGCCUUAAAAUUAUUACAACAACAUUUUUUCAUUUACAUGGCUGGAGAGAAUCUGUUUUUGCAGUAAAUUUGUAUUUCAAAGAAGAUUUUUGUGUCCUU
rnacentral:lncRNA from 1 species